AACGAACGCUGGCGGCAUGCCUAACACAUGCAAGUCGAACGAGACCUUCGGGUCUAGUGGCGCACGGGUGCGUAACGCGUGGGAACCUGCCCUUAGGUUCGGAAUAACUCCCCGAAAGGGGUGCUAAUACCGGAUAAUGUCUUCGGACCAAAGAUUUAUCGCCUUUGGAUGGGCCCGCGUUGGAUUAGCUAGUUGGUAGGGUAAAAGCCUACCAAGGCGACGAUCCAUAGCUGGUCUGAGAGGAUGAUCAGCCACACUGGGACUGAGACACGGCCCAGACUCCUACGGGAGGCAGCAGUGGGGAAUAUUGGACAAAGGGCGAAAGCCUGAUCCAGCAAUGCCGCGUGAGUGAUGAAGGCCUGAGGGUUGUAAAGCUCUUUUACCCGGGAUGAUAAUGACAGUACCGGGAGAAUAAGCUCCGGCUAACUCCGUG
rnacentral:rRNA from 1 species